rnacentral:rRNA from 1 species
CUUUGCUGACGAGUGGCGGACGGGUGAGUAAUGUCUGGGAAACUGCCUGAUGGAGGGGGAUAACUACUGGAAACGGUAGCUAAUACCGCAUAAUGUCGCAAGACCAAAGAGGGGGACCUUCGGGCCUCUUGCCAUCGGAUGUGCCCAGAUGGGAUUAGCUUGUUGGUGGGGUAACGGCUCACCAAGGCGACGAUCCCUAGCUGGUCUGAGAGGAUGACCAGCCACACUGGAACUGAGACACGGUCCAGACUCCUACGGGAGGCAGCAGUGGGGAAUAUUGCACAAUGGGCGCAAGCCUGAUGCAGCCAUGCCGCGUGUAUGAAGAAGGCCUUCGGGUUGUAAAGUACUUUCAGCGGGGAGGAAGGGAGUAAAGUUAAUACCUUUGCUCAUUGACGUUACCCGCAGAAGAAGCACCGGCUAACUCCGUGCCAGCAGCCGCGGUAAUACGGAGGGUGCAAGCGUUAAUCGGAAUUACUGGGCGUAAAGCGCACGCAGGCGGUUUGUUAAGUCAGAUGUGAAAUCCCCGGGCUCAACCUGGGAACUGCAUCUGAUACUGGCAAGCUUGAGUCUCGUAGAGGGGGGUAGAAUUCCAGGUGUAGCGGUGAAAUGCGUAGAGAUCUGGAGGAAUACCGGUGGCGAAGGCGGCCCCCUGGACGAAGACUGACGCUCAGGUGCGAAAGCGUGGGGAGCAAACAGGAUUAGAUACCCUGGUAGUCCACGCCGUAAACGAUGUCGACUUGGAGGUUGUGCCCUUGAGGCGUGGCUUCCGGAGCUAACGCGUUAAGUCGACCGCCUGGGGAGUACGGCCGCAAGGUUAAAACUCAAAUGAAUUGACGGGGGCCCGCACAAGCGGUGGAGCAUGUGGUUUAAUUCGAUGCAACGCGAAGAACCUUACCUGGUCUUGACAUCCACGGAAGUUUUCAGAGAUGAGAAUGUGCCUUCGGGAACCGUGAGACAGGUGCUGCAUGGCUGUCGUCAGCUCGUGUUGUGAAAUGUUGGGUUAAGUCCCGCAACGAGCGCAACCCUUAUCCUUUGUUGCCAGCGGUCCGGCCGGGAACUCAAAGGAGACUGCCAGUGAUAAACUGGAGGAAGGUGGGGAUGACGUCAAGUCAUCAUGGCCCUUACGACCAGGGCUACACACGUGCUACAAUGGCGCAUACAAAGAGAAGCGACCUCGCGAGAGCAAGCGGACCUCAUAAAGUGCGUCGUAGUCCGGAUUGGAGUCUGCAACUCGACUCCAUGAAGUCGGAAUCGCUAGUAAUCGUGGAUCAGAAUGCCACGGUGAAUACGUUCCCGGGCCUUGUACACACCGCCCGUCACACCAUGGGAGUGGGUUGCAAAAGAAGUAGGUAGCUUAACCUUCGGGAGGGCGCUUACCACUUUGUGAUUCAUGACUGGGGUGAAGUCGUAACAAGGUAACCGUAGGGGAACCUGCGGUUGGAUCACCUCCUUACCUUAAAGAAGC